ensembl:miRNA
CUCGGGCCCGACCGCGCCGGCCCGCACCUCCCGGCCCGGAGCUGCGGGCUGCGGUCGGGGCGGUCCCGGG